UCCCAACGGUUAAUAAGAGGGUAAAUUAUGAGAACCGUUGGAAAAGGUAAGAGGAGGUUUUUUCCAUCAGUUUAGCACCGAUGGAAAAAAACCGUUGGGAUAGCUAUUGCCAACGGUGAAGAACCGUGGGCAAUACUAAAUAGAAUUUUUUUUUUAAAAAAAAAACAAUAAAUUCCAACAAUUUAUAACUGUUGGAAAUAGUAUAUAUAACCAACGGUUUAUAACCGUGGAAAAUACCACACUUAUAAACACUGUUGGGAAAGAUUCUUUAUAUAUAUAAUGUAUAUGUUAAAAAAUUAAAAUAUCCCUCUCCCAUUCAUCUCUCUCGCUCACACUCUCAUUCAGCCCCAAACCCUAUUCGAAGCCCAUCUGUAUUCCUCCUAAACCCAACCCUCUCAGCGAUCGUCGUCCCAAAAUCAAACCCUCUCCUGUCAUCCUAAACCCAAACCCAACCUCCAUUGCCGGCGAUUUGGAGGUCGUCCCAUCCUUUCACCCCUAUUGAGUAUAGUUUGUUGAAUCUCUCCCCUCACUCUGCCACACCACCACCCUGUCAUGGUCAAACUGUUACUGCACUUGGACUCCUCAAGGUUUGCUAACAUGUUUCUUUUUAUGUAUUUUUUCAUUAUACUUUUUUAUAAUCAAUAUUAAUUGGUUAGAAAUUUUAUACUAGAAAUAUAAGUUUAAUUUUAAUAGCACCUAGAUUGAUUGAUUAACUUAUAUUGUUCUGUUCUCUUCUCUUUGAAAUUUCGUUCGUAUACACUAUUGUUAUUCUCUAUGUUGAAUUGGUAUUACAUAAGUUUAAGCAUGUCACUUUAAUUAAAUUGGACAACUCAGAUUAUUCAGGUGUUUAAGAUUAGUUGUGUUUGCUGUCAAACUUGAGAAUGACACAUUCCAACGUUGCUUCUAUAAAUUUCUUUGGAUAAUUCUUGUAUGUAGUAAAUAUAAUUGGCAUAGGAUACAGACCAAAUAGAUUUUGAUAUAGAGAGUUAGCUAAUAGUUAUGUCAUUUGUGUAGUUGUUACAAUAAGCAGUUAAUUACUUUGAAUAAUUUGAUAUUAAUUGAAAACUCUAUCCUUUUUUUUGGAAAAUGUAUGGUGCAGUCGGUUAUUUUGAGUCUUUUUUAUUUUUAAAUACUAGUUGUCACAGUAUGAAUUCAUUACUUCGAAAAAGUGUCCUUGGCAUCUGAUUGUAGCAAUCAUCAGGAUCAUGAAGCUUAAAAGGGACAUAUCUAUACAUGUAUAGUGUUCCUUUCAUUAUCAUUCUUUUCUUUGUUUUAUUUAAUUGGUCCUAAUUAUGAUCUAGUUUUGAUGAAACACAGAAAAUUCCAUAUAUAUAGAGAGUAACAUAUCAAAAUUCAUUAAUUAAUUUGUAAUUACAUAUAUAUAGUCUUGUCAAUAUGAUAUUUUCUUUCCCUUAUUUUUGUUGGUAUAUUAUUUUUAAAUGAUGCAGAACUCUCUGGUUAGAUCUGAAGUUAUGAGUUUAUUUUUGUGUUUAUCUUUUGAAGUGUUUUUAGCCUAUGUAAGAUUAGAACAAAUCAGAAAUUGGUCACAUUGCUGAAGCUAAUUGUCUUUUUUGUGGAGAUCAUUUGGAGACCCAUCUAUAUCUUUUUUUUUCAGCUGUCACUAUAGCUCUUCUGUGGCUUUGCUGGUUUUUUCUUGGGCAAGUUUCAAUGUGCAUUAAGAAGAUCAAGAGGAGCAAGCAUUCAAAGUUUCAGAAAGAGGUUUAUCUUUCAAUUGUGAAUAGCCUUGUAUAUAAUAUUUAGAAAGCUAGAAAUAGUACUUUGUGAAAUAGUAAUGUGUAUACUAUUUAUACUCUUGUACAAAAAAUUGAAAGAAGCAUUUGUAAUAGAUUUUCUCACUUUAAGAAUGAGAAAACAAGUCAUAGAGAUUGUAAUUAGUCUGAGAAAAUUAUCUAUAAUUAAGCUCUUUGCUCCUGAGUUGUAAUUCAUCUUGUUGGGAAAUAAAAUAGAUUAUUACUUGUAAAAA